AUUGGGUAAGUGCAUCACAUUAUGCUCACAUAACAUUACAAAUGGCUACUCCACCGCUUCAAGACAGAGUCGCAAUCGUCACCGGCUCUUCCCGCGGAAUCGGACGAGAGAUCGCUCUUCACUUGGCUUCACUCGGCGCCAGACUCGUCAUCAACUACACUUCCAAUUCCAACCACGCCGAAUCAGUCGAAGCCGAAAUCAACGCUAACCAAGCCAUUCCACGAGCCAUCACCGUCCGCGCCGAUGUGUCAGAUCCGGAGGGAGUGAAGUCUCUAUUCGACUCCGCAGAAAAAGCCUUCAACUCGCCUGUUCAUAUCCUAGUCAACUCAGCCGGCGUCACCAACACCAACUUACCAACCAUAGCGAACACAACCGUUGAAACCUUCGAUCGCAUCAUGAACGUGAACGCAAGGGGAUCGUUUCUGUGCGGGAAGGAAGCAGCGAACCGGUUAAAGCGCGGCGGAGGAGGGAGAAUCAUACUUCUGACGACUUCAUUAGCAGCGGCGUUUAAGCCAGGUUACGGCGCGUACACAGCGUCGAAGGCGGCGGUGGAAGCGAUGGUGAAGAUUCUGGCUAAGGAGUUGAAGGGAACGGGAAUUACGGCGAAUUGCGUGGCGCCGGGACCUGUUGCGACGGAAUUGUUCUUAGAAGGGAAAACGGAGGAGACGGUGAAGAGAAUUGCUGAAGAUAGUCCGUUUGGUAGAAUUGGUGAGACGAAAGAUAUUUCCCCUGUUGUUGGGUUUUUGGCUAGUGAUUCUGCUGAAUGGGUUAAUGGUCAAAUUAUUCGUGUCAACGGUGGUUUUGUUUAGUUAAUCCAUUUCAGAGUUUGAAUUACUAUAUUAUAGAUUCAGUGCAAUAACCGCUAAUUAUAUGAUUCAUUCACACAUCUGGGAGGACAAACAUACUUAAAUUAAUACAUGUAUUUUUCAUCUAUAUAUACCAAAACAUAGAAUAA